AUUGAACGCUGGCGGCAGGCUUAACACAUGCAAGUCGAGCGAGCGGCGGACGGGCGAGUAAUGUCUGGGAAACUGCAUGAUGGAGGGGGAUAACUACUGGAAACGGUAGCUAAUACCGCAUACCAUCAGAUGUGCUCAGAGGGGAUUAGCUAGUAGGUGGGGUAAUGGCUCACCUAGGCGACGCUCCCUAGCUGGUCUGAGAGGAUGACCAGCCACACUGGAACUGAGACACGGUCCAGACUCCUACGGGAGGCAGCAGUGGGGAAUAUUGCACAAUGGGCGCAAGCCUGAUGCAGCCAUGCCGCGUGUGUGAAGAAGGCCUUCGGGUUGUAAAGCACUUUCAGCGAGGAGGCGUUACUCACAGAAGAAGCACCGGCUAACUCCGUGCCAGCCGCCGCGGUAAUUC
rnacentral:rRNA from 1 species